rnacentral:misc_RNA from 1 species
AAAUUUUUUGCUGCCCAAAGUGGGGGCUAUUUUACUGGUUUUAAGUUAUGGUCGAUACAGAAAGAUGUACACUUCGACUACAUUGAGAAACAAAACUCAGAAGGCUCACUCGCAAUUCGUGUAACAAGGGAAUAAAAGACGCACCUACAAAAGAAUAUUCCACAUAUAUCGAAGUAAGAAGACUAGGGAAUACAAUACUUAACCGAAGUGAGCCUUCGACAAAUUCUCUGUUUGGCCCGCCACCAUGUACAUAAUCCUCACAUUGACUGAACCCAGAAAGCAUGUCACAGAAACACCUUUGAUGGAUCAGUUUUUCCCACCACUGAUUGCAGCAUGUACAUAAUCUUCACAUCGACUGAACCCAGAAAGCACAUCACUCAAAACACCAAGAACAUCAAAUGCCUCCUGGAAAUCCGUUGCUGAAGUCAUGUCAUCAAGCCACGAUAACAGUUCAGACGAGAAAUCUGCCAUUUCCUUAACAUUUAAUAGUCUCUCUUUCAUGACUAACUCCCAGCCUUCUAGCUUUCUGCCCUCGUCAUCAUCUUCCACAUUCUUGGAAGUCCCUUGGGUUCGCAAGGUGGUCGCACUAGAUGAUUUUUUUACCUUAAAGAAGCGCUGCAGUUGUUCUAUCAAACCAGUGUAGACAAGCAUUGGUUGAAUAGUUGAGAAUAACUCAAUUGAUCCCCCAGCCUCAGAAGCAGAUGUACUUGUACUUCCCGACUCUGUUUUCAAAGCCCCAGACAUAUUGGGGGACGAGCGAGGCACAGGCCUACCAUGAGUCCGCUGGAUAUACGCAUGGUAUAUACCUCGUUGUAAAAAGGAAGCGCGAUUCUGCAGCCACGACUCAUAGGAUUCUGAAAGAAGUGAGGUAACCAUCAUGAACUGGACAGUCUCCUCUGUACCAGCGGAAGUCUGAGUUCCAGAGGUAGUGGAGGCUCUGGAUUCUGAUGCAGGAGAACUUAAAUAGGUUGAGAUAGACUUAAUCAUGAUAUGCUGCUGAGAAGAAUCAUGAUCAAGAAGGUGACGCGCCAUUUGCAUCAUGAAAGGCAAAAAUCGAGCAUUACUGUCUUUUCCACCACCCCUGCAAUCUGCACUAAAUGAAGCACCAGUGGCAAAUCGAGCAAGCAUCAAAACAAUGUCGUAAGUUAACAACCGGAGCCGACUUCCAUCAGCACGCCCAAGAGCAUUCAGGUAAUCCCAGUAUUGGUCAACGUAGCGUAUAUAUUGCCCUAUUGGUACUGAUGGACCUCUCAGAGGGAAAAGAUUAUUGCAUAGUGUCUCGUUAUUUCUAAGGGCUGCUCCAUCCCAUUCUUUUUUAGGUUUACUUAAGGCCGCAUCUGCUCGUUUAGCCUCCUGAUGGCACUGAAAAUGUAUGAUGUUGAAAUGGCUGACCGUUGUGUAAACACAGUCCCCACGAGCAUUUCCAGGGCUUCCAACACCAAGAUUAACCCGUUUACUAUAAGUGUAAACACCAAGCAAGUCUGUAGGGCGCAAGCGGUAGCCUUCACGACAAACCAUGCAAGCCAAGCCUUCCUCUUCCUCAUCCUCAACAUCUUCCAAACCUUCCAAGAUAGGUCGAGCAACAACAAUACGUUCACCACCAUCUGAGGACAGUUCUUGGUGCAUACCAAGUCCCUGCAGUAAUUCUGCUCUCUUCCUCAAUGCUCGUCUCCUCAUCUCAUCCUUUGUCGCAUGACGUAGUUGGUGAACUUUCUGAGCUAAGAACCCAUCACCUUUUCCCUCUUUGUCAGACAGUGUGUCCAACAAGUUUUCAGCCCUGGCUCCAAUCUCAUUCUCACCAGCGACACCCUCUAAAGCAUGAAGCAAUGGCAAGAUUCCUCCUUCAUCUAUGCACUUUUGAGUUGCUAAAUGGCCCAUCGACAAACCCCUCAGCAUGGAUAAAAUAAGAGGAAUAGAUGGAAGCUUUAAACCCGAGGUCCACUCCACAGUUGAUUUGAAACCAACCUGUCCAGUGAAAGCAAAGGUUUCUUUUAGAUGGCUGAUUGCAGCCCCAGUAAUCCCUUUUUCCAGUAUAAUAUCUUUCAACCUCUCUCCACAAGAACUUGUCUUGAGGGAUUCUGAAACCCUAACAAAAUUCUCUAGGGUGUAUUUUUGCUUUGAAGCUUGCUGCGCAAUUGUUUCAUCAUUCAUAUUGUCUUCGUAAAGUUUUUGCAGCCUAUCAAAUUCGCGCCAAUUCUGUAAACAAGGUUCAAAAUGCUGUACAAGAGCUUCCAUUGCUGCAGGUUCCCCGUACGUCAAGUAAGGCAAUAUUCUUGCGACCAUCUCAGUGUUCCUCUGCUGCUUAUUUGACUUUCUAAGUCCAGAUGGAUGGGACAAUCUUUCAAGGAAAAGUAGUACAAUUUUCUUUGCCUGUUCACCAGCACCUGCUUCAUCACUGGAGACUACAUCUACAUCAGAAGUAAUGCUGAUGUUAUCACUCUCAUUUGCUUCUAGUGUUAAGCUCUCCACAAUCAAAAGAAUACCCUCAGCUGGUUCCAUGGCAUCUACAAAGAAAGCACGCCUAGCAGUCUCAAGAAGUAAGCCUAAAGCUCCCAGCUUUAGCAAUGCUUUCCGAUUUUCUCUUAUCUUGCAACAAAGCAUGAGCAAAUUAAGCACUGCAACUAACUGCUCUCGAUUGGACUUGAAAUCAUCUUGCAAACGCUGAACCAUGCCUAAGAGAAUUUCCAGUCCACCACAAUCCCGCACUGCACCAGCUAUCGCAAACUCCACUUCUGGAUCUUGGGUCUCCUCUCUAUCCUCGUCAAUUUCUUUAAUCAUGGGCUCAGUAGCUUCACCAUCUAAGCCCUGCAGUCGGUAGGUCACUGUCAUUGGAGGACAAUCUCGAACUGAUAUAGCAGCACUGGAAGAAAGAGAAGUUGUUGAGGCAACUACACUUGCAGACUGACUAUUGGAUUUCUUCCAUACUAGCUCAAAGACUUGAGCAAUACUCAAAUCUAGAGAGAUAAUAUUCCCAGCAACCAACAAUUCCAUGCCAUAAUCAUCUUCAAGCAGACCCAAGAGAUCAAGUUGCUGGCAGAUUUUAUUUUUGACAUCACGCAUCAAGGGACCAAUUUCAGCACUUGAAUAUGGAUUCUUCGUCAUUGAUCCCCUGAUAAAUUCUUCUUGUGUAUGAGCCUUGUUCAAGAUCAGAAGAUACACCGGCUCUGGUUUUGAUGGGCUAAUCAGAUUGCAGAGUUGCUCCAAGAUGAACAAAGAAGUUCGGCCUCUGUUCUCAUCUCCAUGAAUUUGUAGACCAGAAAUGCAUGCUUGGAUGAACUGACGUUUAUUUUCAUUGCUCUCUAGCAGAAGACUGUCAAGAAGAUCUUUGAGAAGUCUAUUACAGUCAUUUAUAAGUUUUGUCUUCUGCACAACCAAGCCCCUUAUCACAAUUAAAGCCUCAAGAACCUCUGAAAGCAAAUGCUCUCUCAUGAAUCUGGAUCUGAUGUUUGGAACCUCCAAAAACUUGCCAAGGAGCUCAAUAAGUUUAUGAAGAAUAAAUCCCUGAGAUAUGUCAACAUGCAGGCUCCUCUCCAAUUUUUCAACAUUGACCAGUUCCUGAGUGAUCAACUUACAUAUCGUUGUUAAGCAACCACAUACAGUCAAGAAAAGACGAGCAUCCUCCGUGUCUAUCAUUUUAAACAGCAGUUCGAAGUACUCAGCAGCAUUUUCUCCGGCAGAAAGAGUUGCCGAUAACAAAGACAUGAGCAAGUUCAGCAAGCGAAACCGCCGUGAUGAACUCUGGCCACAGAGUAAGCUAAUCAACAUACACAUCUCUGACCUAAUAGACUGUGAACAAGCACUCAGUAUGAGUUCUGUAACCCAUGAUCCCAGCUCAAAUGAUGAUAUCUCAUUUCUAGCUGUUUUUGAAGCAUGUCGCUUCCACCUGAGAAGAUAUUUCAGCGCAAGAUAGUCAUGCCUCUGAAGACGAGAUCUUUGACCACUUUUUCCAGCCGGAGAAACCUUAUACUGUCGUCUCACAAAAUCUAGAUAGGAGGCUCCUUUUUCCCACUCAGAAUAGCUCAACAGUUGUAUAUCUUGAGCCUUCUGAGAGCCAUUCCAACUUUUCUCUGAUGAUCCUGACAUUGACUUGCUCCCAGUAACAAGGCUAUUAGAUCCAGAAACAUUUGAACUGUCAUCUUUCACUUGUGUGACAUGAGAAGAUUUUCCUGCUCCUUGUUCUUUGUCCACAACGUUAGGCUUUGGAGGAGUACAAGCCUGAGAUAUGAUUCUCAGGCAAGGAAGAAUAACAUGCUCAGAUAUUGCAGGAUGUUUAGCUCCCACCUUGAUAGAUGCAAAUAACAACUGGAAAACGACUCUUAAUCUUGAUUCCCAGAAUUCAUCCGACAAUGAACACACAUCAGAAAGCAGCGACAACUCCUCACGGGUAGCCAACGCAAUGUCCAUGGAGCGAUGAUGUUCAAGGCAAUACAUUACCUUCUUCUGUAUUAGACUGUUCAACUCAGCUACUGCAUUAGUGUCACCCUCAGAGAAGGCACAAAGAGCUCCUCUAGCUUGGACACGAGCUGUUUUAGGGCCCUGAUGGAUGUUAUUUUCGAACAGCUCAGACAGAACACCAGCAGCAACAAGUUGCUUCUUAGAUGUCGGAUGUUUUGAUAGCACCUGUAAUAUCUCCAAACACUGGGUGACAAAAGUUGAAGCACAACCAUAGCAACUAUUCGGUACCCUUGAAACAACAAAUCUAGAGGCUGGACUAGCAUUAUCUGAUUGUUUAUGAUGCAGGUAAUUCAUCAAAACCCGCCUCAAACCUUGGAGGGUUUGAACACUCUUACUGACAGAAUCAAAUGCUGCUUUGCAUUUCUCACCAUAAAGGACGCCCAGAAGAGCAAUUUUACGGUUUAUCUUGCAUGAAGGUCCAGGCAAAGAAACCAUCAUUUGCUGAACUGAAUCUUUCUGCUGAGAGUCCAUCUCAUUUUCACCAACACUAGACACAAUCUUCAGCAAAGGUUUUUUGAAUCCUAAAAGCUGCUGAUAUCUACGAUGAGCAUUUUCCGACUCUGCCUCUAUUGCAGCCAACCCCCUUUUCAUGUCUUCAUCAUUUUCCAUGCUAUCAAAAGUGAAACUUGGCUUUGCCAUAAAAUUAAAUUCAAACCGACCAUAUUUGCUGUAUCCACAUUCAUUGCAUAAGAAGGAAUCAAGAUUUUCAUAAUUGAUGUUCCUGCACUGCCUACAUUGAUAGGCAUUCUCAUGACAAUUAUUGCAAAUACCGUGCCUAUCAGUCACAGCCCCAUUGCAAUGUCCCCGUUGCAGUCGGGCUGUGACUGAUAGGCACGGU